rnacentral:rRNA from 1 species
UACGUAGGGUGCAAGCGUUGUCCGGAAUUUAUUGGGCGUAAAGAGCUCGUAGGCGGUCUGUCACGUCGGCUGUGAAAUCCCGAGGCUCAACCUCGGGUCUGCAGUCGAUACGGGCAAACUAGAGUAUUGCAGGGGAGACUGGAAUUCCUGGUGUAGCGGUGAAAUGCGCAGAUAUCAGGAGGAACACCGGUGGCGAAGGCAGAUCUCUGGGGCCUAACUGACGCUGAGGAGCGGAAGCGUGGGGGAGCGAACAGG